rnacentral:rRNA from 1 species
CCCGGCGACCGGCGCACGGGUGAGUAACACGUAUGGAACCUGCCCGCAGCAGGGGGAUAAGCGGAAGAAAUUCCGUCUAAUACCGCGUAACACCGCGGAGGGGCAUCCCUCGGCGGUUAAAGAUUCAUCGGCUGCGGAUGGCCAUGCGGCGCAUUAGCUAGACGGCGGGGUAACGGCCCACCGUGGCGACGAUGCGUAGGGGUUCUGAGAGGAAGGUCCCCCACACUGGUACUGAGACACGGACCAGACUCCUACGGGAGGCAGCAG